GUGGGGAAUCUUGCGCAAUGGGCGAAAGCCUGACGCAGCCAUGCCGCGUGGAUGAUGAAGGUCUUAGGAUUGUAAAAUCCUUUCACCGGUGAAGAUAAUGACUGUAGCCGGAGAAGAAGCCCCGGCUAACUUCGUGCCAGCAGCCGCGGUAAUACGAAGGGGGCUAGCGUUGCUCGGAUUUACUGGGCGUAAAGGGCGCGUAGGCGGACAUUUACGUCAGGGGUGAAAUCCCGGGGCUCAACCUCGGAACUGCCUUUGAUACUGGGUGUCUUGAGUAUGAGAGAGGUGUGUGGAACUCCGAGUGUAGAGGUGAAAUUCGUAGAUAUUCGGAAGAACACCAGUGGCGAAGGCGACACACUGGCUCAUUACUGACGCUGAGGCGCGAAAGCGUGGGGAGCAAACAGGAUUAGAUACCCUAGUAGUCC
rnacentral:rRNA from 1 species